AAUCCUAUAAUUGAUCAGUUGAACGAUGCUUGUUCGCUCUGUAGACGACAGAAGAUCUUAACGCCAACUUCGGACAAUUCCAGAUGCUACAUCGUCUUCAAGGAUAAAAGGGGGAAAUACUUUUGUGAAUUUUGCGCCCCGCUGGACAGUAAAAAGAUAACAAGCAGGCUCGAAGGCACGGAUUUAAGAAAGCUACGGUGUACCAAUUGUCGAUUGCAUUUCCGUGAUCGAGGCGUCAGAACU